ACUUCUUCUGACUCAGUGAGCUGUGUAGAGAGUGAGAUGAUAAAGUGAUCUUACUAUCUGAUCAUUAAGGAAACAUUCAGUGAGAUGUGUAGAGAGUGAGAUGAUAAAGGUAUCUUACUAUCUGAUCAUUAAGGAAACAUUCAGUAAGAUGUGUAGAGAGUGAAAUGAUAAAGGUAUCUUACUAUCUGAUCAUUAAGGAAACAUGCUAUGUUGAAGUGCUGGCUUCUCUGACAACAAUGCAGCAGCCAGUAUGUCCUCCUUCUAACUUUAGAUUCUGCUCCUGAAUGAUCUGGAUUUGUUUGGACCAGAGAAGGUAGGCGGUUUUAAGGCGAACCCCCCCACACGGCCGUUUUGGACGCCCCUCUGUUUGUCAGAUAUGAGAGCAGUUAUCAGGUCAACAGGUGUUGCAGCGAUGGAAGCGGGCAAGAGAAGUGGUUCAGAUAGAAGUGAUUGUACCCGACCUAAAAAGCCUCUGCAUGUUUCUAAUAAGCUCCACGAGCAGAAA